CAGUAGCCGCGGUAAUACGAAGGGGGCUAGCGUUGCUCGGAAUGACUGGGCGUAAAGGGCGCGUAGGCGGUUUAUACAGUCAGAUGUGAAAUUCCUGGGCUCAACCUGGGGACUGCAUUUGAUACGUAUGGACUUGAGUGGAGGAGAGGGUCGUGGAAUUUCCAGUGUAGAGGUGAAAUUCGUAGAUAUUGGAAAGAACACCGGUGGCGAAGGCGGCGACCUGGCCUUUAACUGACGCUGAGGCGCGAAAGCGUGAGGAGCAAACAGGAUUAGAUACCCCAGUAGUCCCUGUCUCUUAUAC
rnacentral:rRNA from 1 species